UACAGGCCAGAAGAGGGCAUCAAA
rnacentral:piRNA from 1 species